CUUCUCUUUUAUUCAUUUCUAUCUAUCCUUGUUGUAUUCACCGGCAGUCACGAUAUCUUAGAUUCUUUGUAAUCUUUUCAGAGCAGCGUCUUAACUAUUACUCCGAGAGCUUCGGGGGCUAAUCAUCUUAUAAAGAUGAACUCGGCAAUCCAGCAAAAACAGCUAGUUGGACUGUUUAUUUAUAUCCCUCAAAUGAGCUGAUUAUGAAUUCCUUGGAUGAGUCGCUAAGUUGCAGUGACUCUCAGGUUUUCCCAUCUGUGAAAUAAAGUGGACGAAAUUCCUGUUUUGAUCCGUUCUUGAGCAGCAAAUCAGCUUCUGCCAUACUUCUUCGCCUGCCACCUGAGCUCAUUCGGUGUUCUCUUUGUUGCUGUCCAUUAUGUUUCCUCAGGCUGCGCUACAGAUCUGUUUUCUCCACCUAUCGAACCCCCCGUCCUCAAAACAGUUAGAAACUUCGGCAAUGCAUGAUAAGCCGCACCUACCUAAUAUUACCGACAGACUUUUUCUGCCAGGAAAAGAAAUGCCCAAUGAAAGCAAAUCAAUGGGCCAUGGAAGCAGGUCUUCCCAGCGGUGACCUAAUCUGCCUGUUUCAAAAGAAGAGGUUACAAUGACAUGAACCGUCAGACGGGAGAGAGAGCUCGCUAAGCUUGAAUCCCCGCCCGUAUACUUACCUGCUAGGUCACAUCUCUGAGCUCCAAUGUCCUCAUCUGUGAAACGGUAAGAGCGAUAGUCACCUGACCUGGCGCUUCAGACAAGAUGAUGUAUCUUGCUCAGCACCUGCAGUUUGUAUACAGAAGAGUCAUUGCUUUAACACGGGUUUCAAGGAUGGACCAACUCUCAGAGAAGAUAUAAACUACGGGUGACCGCAAAAAAGAGGAUGGCGGGGUGAUGACCAACUGCCUCUGAGAAGUAAGAGAGAAAAAAAGAACAAACAGCUGGCCCCUAGGCUUGUUAGAGAGGCAGAGUGGUAUGGCCCAACAGCAUUCAUUCAUUUUGUCUUUUUUCUCUCAUCUAGAAACACCAAUGUCAUCUUGUCCUAGGCCUGAAUCUUCUGGCCCCCUAGUGUCCUAUUUCACACUCCCACAAAUACACACCAAAUAAAUGCGUAUCAUCCCACCCAAACGCAAGCCACCUGGCUCACUGAACGUUUGGUGUGACCCUCAACAUUGUUUUUUUUUUCUUUUAAUUCUAAUGCCACUCAUCAAUCAUGGCUAUAAAAUAUAGGGGCAGGUUCACAUUGCCAUUC